CAGAUAGUAUCUGAGUGACAAUAGUUGCAAUGGAGUUAUGCACAUACCUCGAGCCUUCCCUUGUUUGUUCAUCAAGAGCUAUUUCAGAUGAAAAUCCGGAGACCGUUUCCUUAGGUCUUCUUGCAUGGGACGAAGUUGCAGCGUCAGCAACAGGAUCCUCCCGGGUAGGGUUGCAAGACUCAGUGCUGAGGGAAUCAGACAUGGUCG
rnacentral:lncRNA from 1 species